UCCCCUUUUGAGCGACACGAGUCACGUUAGCUCGCUGCUAACCGGUCCAGGCCAUCUCAUGACAGUGACAAUUGAAACCCAUUCAAGAUGUCUGGCCUGUGACGUCAAUACGUGAGCAUGUUGUUCAUGCAGCCAGUGUGAGACAUGCUAGUGAAGUCUCCAGCUAACAGCUAAAACAUGAAAUCAAGUGUGUGUGUGUGUGGUGUGUGUGUGUGUGUGUGUGUGUGUGUGUGCCCAUGCAUGUGUUGUCACAAUGUGACUUUUUGCAAGGUGGCGUCAUCCCAAAGUUCCCGCCUGUCAAUCACAUACCCGACAAACUAUUUUUCUUCUGUAUUUUUUUUCUUUUUUUAAACUUUUUGUUUUGUAGUGACUGUCGUUUGCUAUUUUUCAAGAUACGCCAUCCUCUUCUCGGUCCUCAUUCGGACAAAAGUGCAAAAUGGCUCUGUGGGAUUGUCAGCACGACCUCUGCAAUGUGCAUUCCAGGCCACUAGUUGGUGAUGUGACUUUGGGAACAAACACUCUACAGUCAACUUGUCAUGUUACGCAACAUGUAGCAAAAGAGACCUGGAUGGGCAAGUGCCCGUGCAUAACGCACCUCAUUUUCAGAGCGGCAAAAUCACCGAGGGGGCUUGCACGCGACCAGCCUAAGCAAGUCCUCUGGGACCCUCUCCAUCCUGGUCUUCUGUCUGCUUUCGUCGGGUGACCGGCGGGAUUGGUGAUGAUGAGCAUGUGAUCGGUCGUUAAUCAAUAUUCGACCUCAAUCCUCCUUGUUCGCCAUGGCAAUAAAAAGAACAAUCACGAUGAACAGAAGAACCAACCUGCGGUAAGGCUGAGGGGCAGCAGGACCCUCAAGACGAACCCCCCCAGCAGCUCCGAGGACAUGUUUGCUCAAGUCUGGAUCCGCGAAAGGACCUCUGAACCCGGUUCGCUUUCUGGGGCGGACUGUCAAAGGUGUUUCCGCCCGAAGGCAACCGGGACCGGUACCAACGCCCCGGGCAUCUCGCACACGCGGGCGCACGCACAAAGUCGUCGAGCUCAAGUGUGAGCCCCUCCGAACUCACACCCGAAGGGGAAAACAAACGAAAAACAUCAAGAACCAAAGAGAAAGCCAAGAAGGACAAAGGCGCCUUCUGCCGUCCCUUUCAGUCUCAAAAGUCCACUUCGUCUUCGUCUUCGUCUUUUGGGGCCAAACUCAAGUAAGUGGAGGCUCGCGGAGGUCUUCCGACCUUUUUCUUUUCUUCCCCUUUUUCCUCUCCGACGAGCUCGAGUCCCAGAAGUUGUCGACCACCGCCCUCAUCCACUGACGCGCGCCCACCUCAGCCAAUCAGGUGAAGACUGCAACGCCUCCAAAAAAGUCCUCAAAAUAAAACAUCAAAUUACAGGCUG